AUACUUACCUGGCAGGGGAGAUACCAUGAUCACGAAGGUGGUUUCCCCAAGGCGAGGCUUAUCCAUUGCACUCUGGACGUGCUGACCCCUGCAAUUUCCACAAAUGUGGGAAACUCAACUGCAUAACAUGGCAGCGGGGGAAUGCAUCUGCACUUUCCCCUG
ensembl:snRNA U1 U1 spliceosomal RNA